rnacentral:rRNA from 1 species
GAUGAACGCUGGCGGCGUGCCUAAUACAUGCAAGUCGAGCGAACGGACGAGAAGCUUGCUUCUCUGAUGUUAGCGGCGGACGGGUGAGUAACACGUGGAUAACCUACCUAUAAGACUGGGAUAACUUCUGGAAACCGGAGCUAAUACCGGAUAAUAUUUUGAACCGCAUGGUUCAAAAGUGAAAGACGGUCUUGCUGUCACUUAUAGAUGGAUCCGCGCUGCAUUAGCUAGUUGGUAAGGUAACGGCUUACCAAGGCAACGAUGCAUAGCCGACCUGAGAGGGUGAUCGGCCACACUGGAACUGAGACACGGUCCAGACUCCUACGGGAGGCAGCAGUAGGGAAUCUUCCGCAAUGGGCGAAAGCCUGACGGAGCAACGCCGCGUGAGUGAUGAAGGUCUUCGGAUCGUAAAACUCUGUUAUUAGGGAAGAACAUAUGUGUAAGUAACUGUGCACAUCUUGACGGUACCUAAUCAGAAAGCCACGGCUAACUACGUGCCAGCAGCCGCGGUAAUACGUAGGUGGCAAGCGUUAUCCGGAAUUAUUGGGCGUAAAGCGCGCGUAGGCGGUUUUUUAGUCUGAUGUGAAAGCCCACGGCUCAACCGUGGAGGGUCAUUGGAAACUGGAAAACUUGAGUGCAGAAAAGGAAAGUGGAAUUCCAUGUGUAGCGGUGAAAUGCGCAAAGAUAUGGAGGAACACCAGUGGCGAAGGCGACUUUCUGGUCUGUAACUGACGCUGAUGUGCGAAAGCGUGGGGAUCAAACAGGAUUAGAUACCCUGGUAGUCCACGCCCUAAACGAUGAGUGCUAAGUGUUAGGGGGUUUCCGCCCCUUAGUGCUGCAGCUAACGCAUUAAGCACUCCGCCUGGGGAGUACGACCGCAAGGUUGAAACUCAAAGGAAUUGACGGGGACCCGCACAAGCGGUGGAGCAUGUGGUUUAAUUCGAAGCAACGCGAAGAACCUUACCAAAUCUUGACAUCCUUUGACAACUCUAGAGAUAGAGCUUUCCCCUUCGGGGGACAAAGUGACAGGUGGUGCAUGGUUGUCGUCAGCUCGUGUCGUGAGAUGUUGGGUUAAGUCCCGCAACGAGCGCAACCCUUAAGCUUAGUUGCCAUCAUUAAGUUGGGCACUCUAAGUUGACUGCCGGUGACAAACCGGAGGAAGGUGGGGAUGACGUCAAAUCAUCAUGCCCCUUAUGAUUUGGGCUACACACGUGCUACAAUGGACAAUACAAAGGGCAGCGAAACCGCGAGGUCAAGCAAAUCCCAUAAAGUUGUUCUCAGUUCGGAUUGUAGUCUGCAACUCGACUACAUGAAGCUGGAAUCGCUAGUAAUCGUAGAUCAGCAUGCUACGGUGAAUACGUUCCCGGG